AACUUAGAAGUCCUUGAUGUUCUUUCAGAGUGCAGCCAUGUUUGAACACGAUGUUCAAACAAGCCGCCACUGAGCCAUGGAUGGCGAAUUGGCGGCGAUGGCGGACAUAGAGAAAAAGAAAAUUAAGAACAUCUAGUACUUCUUAGUUUC
rnacentral:ncRNA from 1 species